UGCGUGCGGAAUGUAGAGCGAGUGAGCGUAGGAGGAAGUGACGUCGUGAAAGCCGAGAGAGCGAGAGUUAGCGGUAGAUACAUCAUCAGUGUAUCAAUAAAAAGUUUUGUUUGUGUGCGGAUGAUAAAACACGCACCUCCUCCGACCCAAGCCGGACUCAUGUGUGCUGCUCACUGUUUGCUGCUGCCACAUUUAAGUGCACGGGUUAGCACGCAUUAACUUCGGCCCUGGAGCAGGCCAGUAAUUUUCACCUGUGCUUCCGGUUGUGACGCAAAAGCAGGAAAGGAGCUGGAACAGGCUGUAAUCUUUACAUGGAGGUGCUGUCUGCCUAAGUGCCAGAGCCAGAGCUGCUGCGCCCAUGCCAGUUCUCAUGAACAGGUAUCUCUGUGGUAUGAUGGGGAGGCUGUGGCUGAUGCUGAUGCUGCCGAGUCCCCUGGGAGCUCUAAUUAAGAUACUGUAUGUCUUCUGUUUGUGGUGAAUGGAGGAUGAAAUGGUUGAUUGAAGACGAGAGGAUGGAGCCAAAAAGAGAUUAAUAAGGUUAGACUGGAUAAAGGGAUGGUCGGGUGAGUGUAUGUGGGUGAAUUAAGAAGUGUAUUUUGUGGCUGCUUGAAUGGGAAGAACUGUCAAUUGAGAAGGAGGAUUGGAUGGAUUAAUAGAUGAAUGGAUGGAUACAGGGUGUAAGGUCCAAUGAGAAAUAAUGGCAGACCUGGAGAAGAGUCAAAAGCGUUAGUCAAAGUAUUUUGACGGAUUUUGAUUAAAAUGUUAGAGUUGCGUGAUA